rnacentral:tRNA from 1 species
GCCGAGGUAGCUCAGUCGGUAGAGCAGUGGACUGAAAAUCCGCGUGUCGGCGGUUCGAUUCCGUCCCUCGGCACCA